UGCGAGUCAAUGUAGCAAUACAUGGCAUACUGCUCAGUAACACGUGGAUAACCUGCCCUUGGGACCGGCAUAACCCCGGGAAACUGGGGAUAAUUCCGGAUAACGCAUAUAUGCUGGAAUGCUUUAUGCGUGAAAUGGAUUCGUCUGCCCAAGGAUGGGUCUGCGGCCUAUCAGGUAGUAGUGGGUGUAAUGUACCUACUAGCCUACAACGGGUACGGGUUGUGAGAGCAAGAGCCCGGAGAUGGAUUCUGAGACAUGAAUCCAGGCCCUACGGGGCGCAGCAGGCGCGAAAACUUUACAAUGCGGGAAACCGUGAUAAGGGGACACCGAGUGCCAGCAUCAUAUGCUGGCUGUCCAGGUGUGUAAAAUACACCUGUUAGCAAGGGCCGGGCAAGACCGGUGCCAGCCGCCGCGGUAACACCGGCGGCCCGAGUGGUGAUCGUGAUUAUUGGGUCUAAAGGGUCCGUAGCCGGUUUGGUCAGUCCUCCGGGAAAUCUGACAGCUCAACUGUUAGGCUUUCGGGGGAUACUGCCAGACCUGGAACCGGGAGAGGUAAGAGGUACUACAGGGGUAGGAGUGAAAUCUUGUAAUCCCUGUGGGACCACCUGUGGCGAAGGCGUCUUACCAGGACGGGUUCGACGGUGAGGGACGAAAGCUGGGGGCACGAACCGGAUUAGAUACCCGGGUAGUCCCAGCCGUAAACGAUGCUCGCUAGGUGUCAGGCAAGGCGCGACCGUGUCUG
rnacentral:rRNA from 1 species